GCGACGCAUGCGCCCGCC
rnacentral:snRNA from 1 species